AGCGAACGCUGGCGGCAGGCUUAACACAUGCAAGUCGAGCGGGCGUAGCAAUACGUCAGCGGCAGACGGGUGAGUAACGCGUGGGAACGUACCUUUUGGUUCGGAACAACACAGGGAAACUUGUGCUAAUACCGGAUAAGCCCUUACGGGGAAAGAUUUAUCGCCGAAAGAUCGGCCCGCGUCUGAUUAGCUAGUUGGUGAGGUAACGGCUCACCAAGGCGACGAUCAGUAGCUGGUCUGAGAGGAUGAUCAGCCACAUUGGGACUGAGACACGGCCCAAACUCCUACGGGAGGCAGCAGUGGGGAAUAUUGGACAAUGGGGGCAACCCUGAUCCAGCCAAGCCGCGUGAGUGAUGAAGGCCCUAGGGUUGUAAAGCUCUUUUGUGCGGGAAGAUAAUGACGGUACCGCAAGAAUAAGCCCCGGCUAACUUCGUGCCAGCCGCCGCGGUAA
rnacentral:rRNA from 1 species